GGGUGAGUAGCUCAGCUGGGAGAGCCCCUCCCUUACAAGGAGGGGGUCGGCGGUUCGAUCCCGUCAUCACCCACCA
rnacentral:tRNA from 1 species